rnacentral:sRNA from 1 species
CUGCGGUGGGUGUGUUUCGGCCUGGCCUGGGUAGGCGCUUGUGCUGCCAGGGCGCCGGGCCCGGGUAGGCCGGGGUCUCGGGUGGCCGCCGGCCCAGGCGCUGGACGGCAGCAGGAUGGGGAAGGCGAAGGUCCCCGCCUCUAAGCGCGCCCCGAGCAGCCCCGUGGCUAAGCCGGGUCCUGUCAAGACGCUCACUCGGAAGAAAAACAAGAAGAAAAAAAGGUUUUGGAAAAGCAAGGCGCAGGAAGUAAGCAAGAAGCCAGCAAGCGGCCCCGGUGCUGUGGUGCGACCUCCAAAGGCACCAGAAGACUUUUCUCAAAACUGGAAGGCGCUGCAAGAGGUUCCAAGAUGGACAGGAAGGCGCCAGUACCUCGCACCAAGGCCAGUGGAGCAGAGCACAAUAAGAAAGGAACCAAGGAAAGGACAGAUGGUGAUAUUGUUCCAGAACGAGGGGACAUCGAGCAUAAGAAGCGGAAAGCUAAGGAGGCAGCCCCGGCCCCACCCACCGAGGAAGACAUCUGGUUUGACGACGUGGACCCGGCGGAUAUCGAAGCUGCCAUAGGUCCAGAGGCGGCCAAGAUAGCGAGGAAACAGUUGGGUCAGAGCGAGGGCAGUGUCAGCCUCAGCCUCGUGAAAGAGCAGGCCUUCGGCGGCCUGACAAGAGCCUUAGCCUUGGACUGUGAGAUGGUGGGCGUGGGCCCUAAGGGGGAGGAGAGCGUGGCCGCCCGUGUGUCCAUCGUGAACCAGUAUGGGAAGUGCGUUUAUGACAAGUACGUCAAACCAACCGAGCCCGUGACGGACUAUAGGACAGCGGUCAGUGGGAUUCGGCCUGAGAACCUCAAGCAGG